rnacentral:rRNA from 1 species
AGUGGAUGGGGAGCAACCUAGUUGUGCGUGUGUAAAGGUAGUGCCAAGAAAAGCGAUGAUCAUGUUGAAAAUCAAUUCCCGGUACCCGAAACCGACACAGGUGGGCAAGUAGAGAAUACUAAGGGGCGCGAGGUAACUCUCUCCAAGGAACUCGGCAAAAUGACCCCGUAACUUAGGGAGAAGGGGUGCCACCGAGAGGUGGUCGCAGUGAAGAGGCCCAGGCGACUGUUUAGCAAAAACAUAGGUCUCUGCAAACUCGAAAGAGGAGGUAUAGGGGCUGACGCCUGCCCAGUGCCGGAAGGUUAAAGAAGUUGGUCAGUUUUAGGAUGAAGCUAGCGACUGAAGCCCCGGUGAACGGCGGCCGUAACUAUAACGGUCCUAAGGUAGCGAAAUUCCUUGUCGGGUAAGUUCCGACCCGCACGAAAGGCGUAACGAUCUGGGCGCUGUCUCGGAGAGAGGCUCGGCGAAAUAGGAUUGUCUGUGAAGAUACGGACUACCUGCAUUUGGACAGAAAGACCCUAUGAAGCUUUACUAUAGCUUGGAAUUGUGUUCGGGCUUCCUGUGCGCAGGAUAGGUGGGAGGCGUAGAAGGUAUUCUUGUGGGGAUACUGGAGCCAACGGUGAGAUACCACUCUCAGGAGGCUAGAAUUCUAACUUAAUUAAGGACAGUUUCAGGUGGGUAGUUUGACUGGGGCGGUCGCCUCCAAAAAGGUAACGGAGGCGUACAAAGGUUCCCUCAGACUGGUUGGAAAUCAGUCGAAGAGUGCAAAGGCAGAAGGGAGCUUGACUGCGAGAAGUACAGUUCGAGCAGGGUGGAAACACGGUCUUAGUGAUCCGACGGUGCUGUGUGAAGGGCCGUCGCUCAACGGAUAAAAGUUACUCUAGGAUAACAGGCUGAUCUCCCCCAAGAGUUCACAUCGACGGGGAGGUUUGGCACCUCGAUGUCGGCUCAUCGCAACCUGGGGCGGAAGUACGUCCCAAGGGUUGGGCUGUUCGCCCAUUAAAGCGGUACGUGAGCUGGGUUCAGAACGUCGUGAGACAGUUCGGUCCAUAUCCGAUGUAGGCGUGAGAAUAUUGAGAGGAGCCUUCCUUAGUACGAGAGGACCGGGAAGGACGCACCGCUGGUGUACCUGUUAUGAUGCCAAUUGUAAACGCAGGGUAGCCAAGUGCGGAGAGGAUAACCGCUGAAAGCAUCUAAGUGGGAAGCCCACCUCAAGAUGAGUAUUCUGGUGUAAGGUCACGGGAAGACGACCCGUAAAUAGGCACGAGGUGGAAGUGCAGAGAUGUAUGAAGCCGAAGUGUACUAAUAGACCGUCGGCUUGACC